rnacentral:misc_RNA from 1 species
CGAGAACAUUCCCAUGUCCAUAUUCUGGCAAGUUCCGCAGUACUUUCUCAUCGGUUGUGCAGAAGUUUUCACUUUUAUCGGACAGUUAGAGUUUUUCUAUGACCAAGCACCUGACGCAAUGAGAAGCAUGAUGGCUGCCCUGUCUCUCACAACCGUAGGAUUGGGAAACUACUUAAGCACAUUGCUCGUUACAAUUGUGACAAAAGUGACGACGAGACACAGGAAGCUCGGGUGGAUUCCUAAUAACUUAAACAUGGGACAUCUUGACUAUUUCUUCUGGCUGUUG